CUACGGGAGGCAGCAGUGGGGAAUAUUGCACAAUGGGGGAAACCCUGAUGCAGCAACGCCGCGUGGAGGAUGACACAUUUCGGUGCGUAAACUCCUUUUAUAGGUCAAGAUAAUGACGGUAGCCUAUGAAUAAGCGCCGGCUAACUCCGUGCCAGCAGCCGCGGUAAUACGGAGGGCGCAAGCGUUACUCGGAAUCACUGGGCGUAAAGAGCAUGUAGGCGGAUUGUUAAGUUGGAAGUGAAAUCCUAUGGCUUAACCAUAGAACUGCUUCCAAAACUGAUAAUCUAGAGUAUGGGAGAGGUAGAUGGAAUUUCUGGUGUAGGGGUAAAAUCCGUAGAGAUCAGAAGGAAUACCGAUUGCGAAGGCGAUCUACUGGAACAUUACUGACGCUCAGAUGCGAAAGCGUGGGGAGCAAACAGGAUUAGAUACCCCCGUAGUC
rnacentral:rRNA from 1 species